AACGAACGCUGGCGGCAUGCCUAACACAUGCAAGUCGAACGAGGCCCUUUGGGGUUUAGUGGCGCCCGGGUGCGUAACGCGUGGGAAUUUGCCCUUUGGUUUGGAAUAACAGCUGGAAACGGCUGCUAAUUCCGGAUGAUGACGAAAGUCCAAAGAUUUGUCGCCAGAGGAUGAGCCCGCGUUGGAUUAGGUAGUUGGUGGGGUAAAGGCCUACCAAGCCGACGAUCCAUAGCUGGUUUGAGAGGAUGAUCAGCCCCCCUGGGACUGAGACCCGGCCCCGACUCCUUCGGGAGGCAGCAGUGGGGAAUAUUGGACAAUGGGGGCAAGCCUGAUCCAGCAAUGCCGCGUGAGUGAUGAAGGCCCUAGGGUUGUAAAGCUUUUUUUCCCGGGAAGAUAAUGACUGUACCAGGGGAAUAAGCCCCGGCUAACUCCGUG
rnacentral:rRNA from 1 species